rnacentral:misc_RNA from 1 species
ACACCUCAACUCUCAUGGGUUCACCAUGAUGAGCUUGGACUUUGGGGGUUUUGCUGGCUUGUGGUCGGCUCCUCUCAAAUGAAUCAGCUUACCAGCGUCUGGCGGCUCGCAGGUGUGAUAACUAUCUACGCCUGUGGUCUUCUGCCGGAUAACCUUCAGCAAUGGAGGUUCGUUGGAGCUUAUAGACGUUCUCCCUCAGUGAGGACAGCUCUUUGAAC